AGCCGGUCGCCGGCGCCCCCAGGCGCUGCUUCCCAGGAGCUCGGCUCCCCGGGAUGGAAGGGACUGAUACCCAGUUAAUGGGCGUGGAGCCUGAGCCCCUGAGGGUCGUCGCUAACGGGGGUCGCUCAGCAGGGCCGGCCUCCGCUGCCUGCCCGGGGUGUCUAAUCACCUCUCCGAUCCUUUGCCCGGAUCUGAGCUUCGUCAUUCACGCCCCUCCUCCCUGGCGACUUUGGGCCUGGUGACAGUCCCCCGACCCUCGCAGAGCCAGGGGCACAGUAGGCGCCUUAGCCACUGGCAGAAUUUCACCGGCGCUCUGCCCGACGCCCCCAGCCCCAGGGCCGGGCGUGGGUGGAAGUGUCUGGAAGGGUGGGUUCACCAGGGCUGGGCACGUCAGCGGCCCCGUACAGAGAAUCCGGUGCCUGGGGUCUCUGGAGGGGGUACUCAGAGUAUCCGAGGAGGAGACUCCUGGAUGCUAACAGAGCCCCCAGUUAGGAGCAGUCCGCGAGACAGUUGGUAACAGUGCUGGCCUUGCCCGGGCGCCGGAAGGUUCCGUGAGGCCCAGCAAGUCCUGACUUGGCACAGGGCCCAGCACACGGUAAGCGCUCGGUACUUGGUCACUGUUGCUUGAUUUUACCAUUUCGGAGGGGCUCAUCUACGCCUAGCAAAGCCCCCCUCCCGGUGACCCAAGGGGAGCUCCAGAAUGUUGAGCGGCUGAGCGGCCUGGCUCCUCCUCUCGACCCCAUCGAGCCAAGUGUCGAAAUCAUCCCAGACGAAGCUGCUGAGCAGAAAUUUCCAGUCUCCCUGGCAAAGCUGGGAAGAUUUUGGGUGCGGCUCAGAGACGCAGCUGGGUCGGCUCUGUGGGGCCAGGGCUGGGGAGGGACCCCAAGAUGUUCUAUGAGACCCAAGCAGCACCCCCAACUUGGGUUGGGGGCGUUGGGGGGUGGAGCCUGGCCUCCUGCUGAGCCCCAGAGCUGAUACAGCACAGGUAAAAGCCCAUUGUUCUCAGUGGUCCACAGAGGCUCAGGGCAGGAGCAAGAUCAGGGUUCGGGUGCUGGCGCCACCCCUCGUUUAGCCCCUACCUGGGAUCUGAGGGAGCACCCAUCCUUGGAAUGCAGGAUAAUAGGGUUGCUGUGAGGAUGGAAGGAGACUGUGCCCAUGAACACUUGACACAGCUCCCUGCCCUGGGGAAAGCACCCAGGAAAUGCGGGCUGUUUGUCUUAGUGAUGUUCCACUUAAUAGCACUUGCGGUGGCUCCCUGGCCCCCGAGGAGCCCACCUUGCCAGUUCUUGGCCACAAGAGUACGAGCCCCUCUGUCAGGACGGUGGGUCUCAUUGAGGCCAUCCUUAUCCUGAGCAACCUAAAGAACUCACAUGGAACUUAGCAAACAGGCAGACCCUUGCCUUGUUCUCAGGGCUGUGUGAUCCCGGGUGAGCAACUCGGCCUCUCUGAACCUGGUUCUCCUCUGCAAAACAGAGAUGAUGGCCUGGGACCCUCUCCCACUACAGGGAAGUAGCAUUGGAGGGGGAAGAGACAGGGGGAGCGUCCCAGCACUGCCCAAAAUUGGACAGGUGACUUUGGACAAGUCUGAAUGAGACUGAAUAAGACAAAACGGAGUAACAUUAGAGCUUGCUGGCUACUCUCUGCCCUGGGCCGGUGCUAGAUGUUUUACAUGCACUGUUAAUCACUGUUACUCGUGGAGGGAGAUUUUAUUAUUAACUUUCUUUUCCAGAUGAGGUAACUGAGGCUCAGAGAGGUUGAUUCACUUUCUCAAGGACACACAGCUAGGAAAUGAUAGAGUCACGAUUCAAACCAUCAUUUGUUGGCUUAGAGCCUGAAUCCCUAAAGAAAAAGCAGGCAGGGUGUAGUGGCUCACGCCUGUAAUCCCAGCAGUUUGGUAGGCUGAGGCUGGAGGCUCACUUGAGCCCAGGAGUUUGAGACCAGCCUGGACAACGUGGCGAAACCUCAUCUCUACAAAAAUACAAAAAUUAGCCCGGCCUGAUGGAGCGCGCCUGUAGUCCCAGCUACUCAGGAGGCUGAGGUGGGAGGAUCACCUGAGCCUGGGGAGGUCAAGGCUGCAGUGAACCGUGAUCGCGCCCCUGCACUCCAUACAGCCUGGACAGCAGGAUGAGACUCCGCCAAAAAAAAAAAAAAAAAAAAAAAAAGAGAGAGAGAGAGAGGAAGAAAAAAGGAAAGAAAGAAAGAAGGAAAAAGAGAAAAAGCAACUUUAAUUUUUUUAAUAUAACAUUUUAAAGUCCCUACUGUGUGCAGGGCAUCAAGGUAGGUGGCAACAAAAACGAAGAUGCCAGGACCCCAGCCUUUGAGAUGCUCAUAGCCGAGUGGGGACACAAGACUUGGAGGAGGCGCUCCUGAGAGUUAGAUGUGAAAAGCAGCACCCUAGAGGCGUCCACCAGAGCUGAGGGCACCGGGAGAGAGAGAGGGACGCAGCAGGAUGGAUGCGGCUGCCUCCGGAGCGCGGGGGAGCGCGGAGUCUUUGCAGGCGGGUGAAGCCCGCUCCUCGCCGGCGAAAAGCGGGGCCGGGCUCCGGGGCCUGGGUCCGGGGCGGGCGGGAGUGGGGACAUUUUUCGUGGUCCCGAGCGUCCCGUCCCGGCGUCCCCGCCCCCGCCCCGCGGCCGCCUCUCCACGCCCUGCCCCGGGCCGCCCGCCAGGCCGCCGUUUCCCGGAGCCGGCCCCCUCCCGCCCUCGCGGCCGGCUGAUGUCAUCUGCACACAACUUUCCGCUUCCCGGCCCGUCUCGGGGCCCUGAGUCAUCGCCGCCCCCGGCCCCGACGCUGGCCUGCGGCGUCUGUUUGUGCAGAGCGAGGCCCCGCCGGCCGGGCUUGACGUCAGGCUGGCAGGGCCUGGAACGGCCCCGCAUCGCGGCCCCCUGGGGGCAGGACGACACCGCUGGGGGCCGAGGGCAGGGCACGCCUUCGGAAUCCGGCUUCGAAGCCGGCCGCCUGACCUGGGGCAAGUGCUUUCAACUCUCUGAACUUCGGUUCCUCAUCUGCCAGUUGGCAGACGCUCAGCAAAUCUUCCUAGACUCACGGGGCGAAUUGUACAGUUGGGUAAAUCGAGGCCCAGAGAUGGCAAAAGGACCGUCCAAGGUCGUACAGCCACCCGGAAUUACAAUUCUUUUCUGCCGGGUCACACGCUGUCAUCCACGUGUUACCUAAGAGAGCUUUCCAGCCUGUGCUAAGAAAACUGCCCCACAUCAUCUGCAGUAGGACGGGGGAGUUGGAGCCCUGGUCAGGCCACUCUGCUACUGACCACAGUUUUCUCAUCUCUAAAAAGGCGCAGUAACAAUAUAAUUACCGUAUGCAGUCCCCCAGGAUACAGGGUCAAAGGAGAGCACAACCAUCGCAGUUGGAAGCCCAUGGGGCAGCAGGGCCCAGGACACAGUGAGCAUACAAUAGACAUUAGCUGCUGUGGUGUCUUGAUUUCAAGCCCAGUGCAGAUGCAUCUGACUUACGAAACUUCAGUGACACCUGCUCUGUGCCAGACACUGAAGAUGGAGCAGUGAACAGCACUGACCCAGCCUGUCCUCCUGUUGCCUGCAGGCCAGAAGCAAGGUCUCGCUGUGUUACCCUGGCUGGAGUGCAGUGGCUACUUACAGGCAUGAUCAUAGCAUACUGCAGCCUCGAACUCCUGGACUAGAGCAGUUCUCCUGCCUCAGCCUCCAGAGCAGCUGGGACUGCAGACACGCACCACAGAGCCCAGCCUGAGUCAUUUUGAUUCUGUAACUGGCUUCCUCUCGGCGGGCAGGCUCACACCCUCCACCCCCAGCUGGAGAUGGAAGGAGGAUGCUCACCGCCCAUUCCUCAUGCAGGCCAUCGAUGGAAAUGUCAGACAGUGCGAGUCCACGCCUGAACACUUCUGGGGUCCGCUCUGGGACUGACACUGGCAGAUCCAUCGGUGAGCUCCCGCCUGCCACCUCUGGGCCUGCAUUGCGGUGAUAGGGCCAAGGGCCUGGGCCUUCAAUUCUCCAGACUUGCCAAAAUGCUCAGCGCAGGCCUCGUCGGCAACUGCAGACAAGCAGAGGCAGCACCUGGGCUCUGCCUGUGCCUGGCACAGUGAAGCGAGGGUGGGGGCAGGAAUGAGGGUCCUCUCCAUGCAAGGGGGGAAGAUAGAAGAACAAAAUUUCACCCUAAUGUAGUGUCUUUAGACCGUGCAAUGUUGUGCUCCUGUUAGUCUGAUAUCAGGGGCUUGCAGCCUGGCAAAGGAAAAAAAACAGGCUGAGGCACAUGAUAGAAGACAGGCAGGGAUGCCACAAUCAUAACCAUGGCAAAGACCAGGAUCAGAAAGGCCCACCAUCUCUGACCCCAAAUCCCUGGGCAGAUGGUUCCAGAACUCAGAAUUUUCCCAGUUGUAGAAAGAUGGGGCCAGGUGCAGUGGCUCACGCCUGUAAUCCCAGCAUUUUGGGAGUACAAGGUGGGCGGAUCACCUGAGGUCAGGAGUUCGAGACCAGCCUGGCCAACAUGGUGAAACCCUGUCUCUACUAAAAAAAAAAAAAAAAAUUAGCCGGGCGUGGCGAUGCAUGCCUGUAAUCCCAGCUACUCGGGAGGCUGAGCCAGGAGAAUUGCUUGAACCCGGGAGGCGGAGGUUGCAGUGAGCCAAGAUCGCGCCACUACACUCCAGUCCGGGCGACAGAGCAAGAGUCCAUUCCCCCACCACCAAAAAAAAAAAAAAAAGAAAGAAAGAUGAUGUGAUACAUAUCACAUAUUUCCUAACACCCCCAACCAAACACAUUUAUGCAUAUGCAUAAAGCAGACGAGGAAAGAUUCUAAAUAGGCUCUGAAUCUCAGUUUUCUCAUCUCUACAAUGGGGCAGUGAUGGCAUGCACCUCCCAGGGCUGUUCUGAGAAUCUGAUGCCUCCCAUUGCACUGGUGAGCCUGGCACAGGCACAGGUCCCACCCCAGGCCCUUUGAACUGGCUGUUCCUUUGGCCUGGAACAUUCCUCCCCAGAUACCUCCUGAGAGGGCUCCCUCACUUCCUUCAAGGCACUGCUCAAAUGCUACCUCUUCACAGAGGCUUUCCCUGACCACCCCGUCUCUUUCCUCUUCCUGCAUAGCCUCUGUCACCUGACAUUUUAUGUCAUAAAUUACUCAUUUAUUAAUUUCCUGCUCUCCCACAGUGGCACCCGAGCUCUGUGAGGGCAAGACUUUGUUCGGUUGUGGGCUAUGCCCCCAACCCCUCGGACAGUGCCUGCACAGGUGGACAUUUUUGUUGGAUGAAGGAUUUUCUGUUAAAUGUGUCUGGCACACACAGAAAAACAAAGCCCAGCAGAUGCCGUUCCAUUGUUUGCUGACUUUCAUUGAUUCUAUGAGAAGUCUGCAGUCUUUUGCAGCGUUGUUUUCCUAUGUAUAAUUGUCUCCUCCCACCCCACUCACCCCAGCUGCUUUCCACAUUCUCUCUCUUUGAUUUUCAGCAGUCUGCCCAUGAUGUGCCUAAAUAGGACUUUCUUUGCAUUCAUCUUGGCUGGGGCUCACUGAACUUUCUGAAUCUGUAGAUUAAUUUUCUUUUUUCAAUAAACCUUGGAAUAUUUUCAGCAUAAUUUUUUUCCUGUCUUCUUCUCUCUCUUUUCUCCUCUGAAAU
rnacentral:lncRNA from 1 species